rnacentral:lncRNA from 1 species
CGUGGUUCCAGCGCUGCGCGCAGGCCGGUCCCGCAGGGGGCAGGGAAGGGGGCCGGACGGGCGGAGCGAGAGGAGCACCGUGCAUCAAGUCACCAGGGUGGUCCAUUCAAGCUGCAGAUUUGUUUGUCAUCCUUGUACAACAGUCUCCUCCUCCACUGCCACUACAGGGAAGUGCAUCACAUGUCAGCAUCCCAGAGCAUAGUGAAAGAGUCUAUUUUGAAGUCUCAAACGUAGUGCUGUUGCAGACCAGAAACAAGAGAGAAAGAGUGGAUUUCAGCCUACGCGGAUGGUCUUGA